CCUACGGGAGGCAGCAGUGGGGAAUAUUGCACAAUGGGGGAAACCCUGAUGCAGCGACGCCGCGUGAAGGAAGAAGUAUUUCGGUAUGUAAACUUCUAUCAGCAGGGAAGUAAAUGAAGGUACCUGACUAAGAAGCCCCGGCUAAAUACGUGCCAGCAGCCGCGGUAAUACGUCGGGGGCGAGCGUUAUACGGAUUCACUGGGUGUUAAGGGAGCGUAGACGGCCAUGCGAGCCCGUGGUGAAAGCCCGGGGCCCAACCCCGGAAUUGCCCUUGGAACUGCAUGGCUGGAGUGCGGGUGGGGCAGGCGGAAUUCGUGGUGUAGCGGUGAAAUGCGUAGAUAUCAGGAGGAACGCCGACGGCGAAGGCGGCCUGCUGGACCGCGACUGACGUUGAGGCUCGAAAGCGUGGGGAGCGAACAGGAUUAGAUACCCGUGUAGUC
rnacentral:rRNA from 1 species